CUGCAGACCCCCACAGAGGGCUCCAGUCAGGGUGAGUGGGGGGCACUGGUUUGGACUGGUCUGGACUGGUGUGGACUGGUUUAGACUGGUUUGGACUGGUCUGGACUGGUUUAGACUGGUUUGGACUGAUCUGGACUGGUUUGGACUGGUGUGGACUGGGGGCGGGGGGGCACACUUGUUUGGACUGGUCUGUACUGGUUUGUACUGGUCUGCAUUGGUCUGUACUGUACUGGUCUGUACUGUACUGGUCUGUACUGGUUUAUAGUGGUUUAUACUGGGCCUUACUGGUUUAUACUGGUCCACACUGGUUUAUACUGGUUUAUACUGGUUUAUACUGGUCUCUGUGCCCCCCCAGAGUUGCAGACGGGCCCCCCCACCCCAGACCCUGCCAGCACCGAGAGCAGCGGGAUGGCCUGGGCGUCCCCCAGUGAGUGUCCCCAAACGUCCCCAAAAUGUCCCUAAAUGUCCCCAAAUGUCCCCAAAUGUCCCCAAACAUCCCCAAAAUGUCCCCAAAUGUCCCCAAAAUGUCCCUAAAUGUCCCCAAAUUGUCCCCCCCAGGCCCAUCGACCACGGAGGAGGACCCGGCGCCAAAGGCGGUGACAGAGUGCGGUGUGUGGGGUCGGGGGUUACGGGG
rnacentral:lncRNA from 1 species